CCCCUAGAUGUUCUGGGCAGCACGCGCGCUACAAUGGUCUUCGCAAACGGAUGCAUUCUCGAAGGAGAAUGCCAAUCUUGGAAUCUAUGCCUUGGUCGGGACAGUUGCUUGCAAUUUUUCGACUCGAACCAGGAAUUCCUUGUAAUCGUGAUUCAUCACAUCACGAUGAAUACGUCCCUGCCCCUUGUACACACCGCCCGUCGCUCCUACCGAUCGAAGAGUUAGGUGAAUUGUUUUGAUCGAUAAGAUUUGACUAUGGUCAACUCUCGUUGUGAAAUUCUGUGAAUCUGACUGUUUAGAGGAAGGAAAAGUCGUAACA
rnacentral:rRNA from 1 species